rnacentral:misc_RNA from 1 species
GGAACACUAUCCGACUGGCACCCGUUUAUCGCGGGUGGGGAGUGCCUAGAAGUGGGUAGGUCUUAUCGUGCCAGCACCGACAAAGAACGGUAAGCCUUGGGCCUGAAGUUCAGCUGCUGUCGGUGAACGGCUUGCCGAGAGAAAUGAUUCAUCUUUCCCUCAGCUGGUGAAUCACGGCACCGACAUGAGUUUUGUGCUUUUAGGUUUCUUGAGGAGGCUGUUAGAGUGUACGGUUAUCAUAGACCGCCUAGGCCUUGGUCA